rnacentral:rRNA from 1 species
UAGGGAAUUUUCGUCAAUGGGGGCAACCCUGAACGAGCAAUGCCGCGUGAGCGAAGAAGGUCUUCGGAUUGUAAAGCUCUGUUGCCGGGGAAAAAGGAAGGAAAGAGGAAAUGCUUUUCUUUGGAUGGUACCC